ensembl:lncRNA
GCAGUUUCCAAUCAGCACCCCUGACUUGAAAAAUGAGUUGAUUGAGAAAAGAUUGAAACUGACAAAUCGAGCAGCUGAGGUUGAAAGAACAACACAGUUCGGCUGUUAAACGGCUUCAUUAUGAGCAGCGGAUACGUGAGACACGCGAGUGUCCACAUGCAUCCUGUCCACAUGCAUCCUGUCCACAUGCAUCCUGUCCACAUGCAUCCUGAGGGGAGGUUCAGUGUGGCGACGCACCUCGUCUCCUAAAACACACGUCUGUCAUUAAUAGUUUGGCCUGGUUUACCUUUGACUAGAGGUGACUAGGGGUGACUAGGGGUGACUAGGGGUGACUAGAGGUGACUAGGGGUGACUAGGGGUGACUAGAGGUGACUAGAGGUGACUAGGGGUGACUAGAGGUGACUAGAGGUGACUAGAGGUGACUAGGGGUGACUAGAGGUGACUAGGGGUGACUAGAGGUGACUAGAGGUGACUAGGGGUGACUAGAGGUGACUAGGGGUGACUAGAGGUGACUAGGGGUGACUAGGGGUGA